rnacentral:rRNA from 1 species
GAGCGGAGGUAUUCGCUGGACGAGGUCUUCGGACCGAGUCCAUGAAUAUCUUAGCGGCGGACGGGUGAGUAACGCGUGGGUAAUCUGCCCGAUACACCGGGUAUAACAUCUGGAAACGGAUGCUAAUACCGGUAUAAGCCCCCACUGUAGCAUUGCAGAGAGGGAAAAGAUUUAUCGGUAUCGGAGGAGCCCGCGUAAGAUUAGGUAGUUGGUGGGGUAAAGGCCCACCAAGCCUACGAUCUUUAGCCGACCUGAGAGGGUGAUCGGCCACACUGGGACUGAGACACGGCCCAGACUCCUACGGGAGGCAGCAGUGAGGAAUAUUGCACAAUGGACGAAAGUCUGAUGCAGCAACGCCGCGUGAGGGAAGAAGGUUUUCGGAUCGUAAACCUCUAUCGAUGGGGACGAAAAAAAUGACGGUACCCAAGUAAGAAGCCCCGGCUAACUACGUGCCAGCAGCCGCGGUAAU